rfam:Asian citrus Psyllid, Diaphorina citri - Florida Strain, whole genome shotgun sequence.
ACCAGCGGCGAUAGCACGUUGCGUAGAAUGCACCAGUUCCCUACGGAUCACUGAAGUUAAGCAACGAUGCGCGUGGUUAGUACCUGGAUGUUGACCAUCUGGGGAAUCGCGUGCUGCUGGGU